rnacentral:lncRNA from 1 species
AGUGAAUAGUAACCUGUAAGAUAAUAUAGAAGAUUGUUAUUGAGGCUUGAUGAAUCUGAAGAAGAUACUUAUGAAUUAUUGUAGAAACAUCUGUAAUCAAUACACCUGUUUUAUUCAAAAGACAGUGAUGAAUGGACCUUCGUCUUUCCUACGUAAAGUAUGCUGAUUUAGUGAUCAAUUGGUGGCAGCAUGUGAAAAGGUGUUUGGAAGACAAACAGGGGCCACGAGGAGCAAACAUCACAAGUAGACAGGUGGACAGCAGUCAGAGGAGCAAAACUGGCAUGAGUCUGCUUGAGUUCCUGGAUGUAAAAAUGUUAAGAGGAAGUGAGCUGUAAACCAUGGCAGGUCUGUCUGACAUUGGGGACCUUUGAUACAGGGAGAGCUCGCAAACGUCAGGGACUUGAUGCUGAGAGUUUGCAGACUCAUCUCUCAAGGCACUGGAUGACCUCACCUUGCGUGAAAUCAUUUGGCCUACUUAUGUUUUAGAGCUUCAGAGCAGGACUGUCAUAGGCUUAGCCAGAUACUUGGUGCCAGGGAGAGAGGAAUCUUACAGUUUGGGUUUCCUCACUGUUUCAUCUUUUUCCUAAGUUUGAGAAUUUUCUCAACCUUAAAUUCAUUUCCUCAUGAGCUCUGAGAGUUUCUUUUCAAAGAAAUUCAUCACGAAAGUUCUAAUGAAACAUAUACAUGAGAAUUUGGGUGUGCAUUUCUCCUAACACAUCUAGUUUUGUCUGAGGUAUAUAUUUUUGCAGAGAACUUUCUUAAUCUGAGUUAUUUUAAGAACAUAUAAACUUCAACAUAUAAACGUAACUUUUUGGUGAACAUAUGUAUUUUCUGGGUGGAUGUUCCUCUAAUAUAUAAAAUUUGGUACACACGUUUUAAAUUUGAGAACCACAUCACAAAAUCUGCAGAAGUGAAACUAUUGGAAGUAUGCAGAAGCUUCCCAUCAACUCAGUCUGUAUCUGAACAAAGGAGAUACAGUUCACAGUUGACCUGGCCUGUAUCCAGAUCUGUGACACUUACUGUGCAUUUUUGGAUCUCCAGUAAAAGGAGUCUAACGAACGAACAAACAUUCCCAUGAAUAGCAGGGAAAUACAAAUGUCUAUGACAUGGGUGCUAACUGUGUUACAUAUGUACUCAAAAUACCUAUAACAAUCCUUCUUCCACCACCUCUUUCUCUCACACACACACUUCUACUAGUUUAAUAAUAUUUUCGCAAACUAAGGUGAGGGAGGGAACAAAGAAAAAUAAGAAUAUUCCAAAUCAUAAGAAACUGGCCACAAAAUGGCUGCUGGAGUGUCUGCAAAGCGAUGUAUAAACCGCACAGUGACCUCAAUC